rnacentral:lncRNA from 1 species
ACAGCGGAUCGACUACCAUGUGGGUGCCCACAAAAAUUCCACCUCUGAGUCCUCAACUGCUGACCCCGGGGUCAGUAGACACGGGGUUUCACCAUGUUGGCCAGGCCGGUCUUGAACUUGUGACGUCAGGUGAUGCACCCGCCUUGGCCUCCCAAAGUGCUGGGAUUACAGGUCCAGAUUUUGAACAAAUCUCGCUAGAGAUUGAACAGAGCUGCGCCUGGAUCCCGCCACAGUGAGGAGACCUGAAGACCAGAGAAAACACAGCAAGCCCCUGGAUCCUCCUGGAAUCCCCGAUCCCUCUUGCUCCCUGGCAGAGUUUUCUAGUCCCUCUUACUUGAAGCAUGUCUUUCAGAGCCCGGCACCACCCAUCUUGAGUAUCUGGUGAGUUCUGUGGUCUGCAUGUCCAUGUUUGGGACAUUCUGGGAAGGGUGGCCCAGGCUGUGAUUUGCCAUCUACUGCAGGCUAUGGAUGGUAUUCAGAAGGGAGGGGAGAUGCUGUGUGCGUGUUCUGAAGGGUUUCCCACUAAACAGAUCAACCCUCUCCAUAACUAUUUGAUUUUUACUUUAUCUCCUCGUUGACUUCACAGUGUCAGUGCAGUUUGUGUAAACAUCUCUAUGGGGUGAUGCAUGCAGAUAAAUGUUUAUGUGAACAUAUAAAGUCUGCAUGUGUGGGUGAACACUCCACAUCAGGUCAUUGUCCAUCAUUACAUAUCUGUGGUGUCUGGCUCAUUCGUCUCGUUUUCUGUCAUUUUACCUACUUUUACCUGAAGUACAAUGACUAUUUAAUAACUAUUAAAUGUUUCAUUUCAGCUACACCUCUAUGGUAUUUUUUUCACCUCAUAUCAUACCUUCCUCCCUCACUGGACUUCAGUGUGGGACCUGCAGGUCUCAGGCCUUCUGGGAAGUCCCAGCUUUUCUUGAAUGUUUUCUCUCUCUGGCCAGCUCAGGCUGGAGCAGUGGGUGUUGGUGCCAUCCUGUGGCUAUAGGUGAUAAGCCGGCUGUUCUUCACUGACCUGGUCUUACCUUGAACCCUGGAGUUCUCACAUGCAUGGAUUUAAAUGCUGUGUCUUUCUAAGGGCACAUUAUGGCCAUUUUCCUUAUCUCCCUCCCAAGGGGCUG